UAUAUAGCAAGCACCUGCUGAUUUCAUCAUGGUUGCAUACCGGUCUUUGUCUCGACCAGACCCUUUCUACAAGAUAACUUAUUUUACAGACCCUUUGAACAAACACUUGUAGUACCAUAACAAAUGUCUUUACAACACAACGUAUCUAAAUUUCGGAUCCAUGCUUUAUUUACUUUCAUAUCCCAUCAGAUUUUCAUCAGUUUGGCCAAAGUUUGGUAGGCAUUUGGAACAUCCCCACCAGCUGUUUUCGAUCUUAUUGGGUUUUCAAUGCCAUGUACAUGUAUAUA